CUGCCACCCAGAUAUGUAUAGCAUUAGUAGACAGGUGUUCUAAUAUCAGAAAUGUACAACUGUUUGCUUAUGUGACCUUUCAAGGCAUUCAUAGUUUGAUUAAAUCAUAUGUUGAGGUUUCCAUGCCCCGGCUUGACAUUUGAAUUAAAUCAUAAAUUAUAGUCCUUGCCAUAUCUACUCAAAGUCAGCGGGAUUGCAUGGCACACUGUGCAAAGAGUCUGGGUGUUUUCAACCACUGACAAACGGCUGGAUUCUUGUGAAACUGGCAUUGGCUCCAACUGGGGCAAAAUGCCAUGAUGCCCCUGGCUCCAACUGGGGCAAAAUGCCAUGAUGCCCCUGGUUCCAACUGGGGCAAAAUGCCAUGAUGCCCCUGGUUCCAACUGGGGCAAAAUGACAUGAGGGGUGGAGGAGUGGGGGUGGAUGGGGAAGGGAUGGAGGAGUGGGGGGGGAUGGAGGAGUGGGGGUGGACGAGGGAUGGAGGAGAGGGGGAGGAUGGAGGAGUGGGGGAGGAUGGAGGAGUGGAGGUGGAUGGAGGAGUGGAGGUGGAUGGAGGAGUGGAGGUGGAUGGAGGAGUGGAGGUGGAUGGAGGAGUGGGGGUGGAUGGAGGAGUGGAGGUGGAUGGAGGAGUGGGGGUGGAUGGAGGAGUGGAGGUGGAUGGAGGAGUGGGGGUGGAUGGAGGAGUG
ensembl:lncRNA